CUCUCUAUUGCUUUACACAAUUUCUUUCUCUUGUUGUACACAAUUUCUCUCUCUUACUUUAAGGAAACCUUGAACUAUCAUCAAGGGCAAGCUCUGUCAUUUGUGGGAACCGGAUUGUGUUGAAUUGGGUAGGUUCACAGCUGCUAUCAAGGUCGGAGCAAUAGUUAGAUGCUGAGUUGUUCGUGACUUGCCGUCGGUUUCAGAACAACUUCUGAUUGUUCACAGUCGAGAUUCAAGGGUCCUACAUUGAUUUCAAUGUAGAAAUGGAAGGAAAUAAUGAUGUAUAUCCCCUUUCGGAGAUGAGGAAAUUGAGGGAUCAAACAACAUGAUACACAAUGGAGAUUGAGGGGAUUUUUAACCAUGUAAAUGUAUGGACAAGCCCAUUGAUUUAGUAAAGAAAUGGAAGGGCAUGAUGAGCCAUAUCCAUUGUGGGAUGACUUGGAGAUUGAGGGGAUUUUUUUUUGUAAGGGUUGUACAUUGUUUACUCUUAGGGAAGUUAUGGGAUAUAUAUAUAUAAUAACAUAUGUUGUUUUCAAUCAA